CCCCCCCCCCCGCAUCAGGAUUCCAUACGGUGGGUGGAAACCAAGCCCCAACAAGACCUUGGAUGGCGAUGAACGCGGUAGAUGGUCGGGUGCGGCUGGAGCACCUGAGAGCUGCUGGGACAGAGGCAGGAGUUCAGUGCGGGUGCCAUUUUUCAUGGAGGAUAGGUAAAUGAUGCUUCGGGUCUACAAAGUAUAUAUUCAGAUUUCUGUACGCAUCUACAUGUUGAUGCCUUCUACUCGCAUGUAAAACUUUAUUGGGAAAAUUACCAAGUUUUGCGGACAUGUUUGAAGAACUGGGGGCAUGUUUAGUGUUGAAGAGAUGAUAGUUCUUCGGGGUAAAAAAUAAAAGCUGGGUGAACGGAAACUACAUGAUUAUUAUACGUUUUUGUGAACAUAUAACGAUUAUCAUACGUUUAACA